rnacentral:rRNA from 1 species
UACGGGGGGGGCAGGCGUUGUUCGGAAUUACUGGGCGUAAAGGGCUCGUAGGCGGCCAACUAAGUCGGAUGUGAAAUCCCCAGGCUCAACUUGGGAACUGCAUCCGAUACUGGAUGGCUUGAAUCCGGGAGAGGGAUGCAGAAUUCCAGGUGUAGCGGUGAAAUGCGUAGAUAUCUGGAGGAAUACCGGUGGCGAAGGCGGCAUCCUGGACCGGCAUUGACGCUGAUGAGCGAAAGCUAGGGGAGCAAACGGG